rnacentral:rRNA from 1 species
CAAGUCGAACGCGAAAGCCCCGCAAGGGGUAAGUAGAGUGGCAAACGGGUGAGUAACACGUGGGUGAUCUGCCUUGAAGUGGGGGAUAACGACCCGAAAGGGUCGCUAAUACCGCAUAACAUCCUGCCUUUGGAUAGGUGGAGAUCAAAGCCGGGGAUCGCAAGACCUGGCGCUUGGAGAGGAGCCCGCGGCCGAUUAGCUAGUUGGUAGGGUAAUGGCCUACCAAGGCAACGAUCGGUAUCCGGCCUGAGAGGGCGGACGGACACACUGGGACUGAGACACGGCCCAGACUCCUACGGGAGGCAGCAGUGGGGAAUUGUUCGCAAUGGGCGCAAGCCUGACGACGCAACGCCGCGUGGAGGACGAAGAUCUUCGGGUCGUAAACUCCUUUCGAUCGGGAAGAACGGCUUCCGGGUGAACAAUCCGGGAGAGUGACGGUACCGAGAGAAGAAGCCCCGGCUAACUCCGUGCCAGCAGCCGCGGUAAUACGGGGGGGGCAAGCGUUGUUCGGAAUUACUGGGCGUAAAGGGCUCGUAGGCGGCCAACUAAGUCCGACGUGAAAUCCCCAGGCUUAACCUGGGAACUGCGUCGGAUACUGGAUGGCUUGAAUUCGGGAGAGGGAUGCAGAAUUCCAGGUGUAGCGGUGAAAUGCGUAGAUAUCUGGAGGAAUACCGGUGGCGAAGGCGGCAUCCUGGACCGACAUUGACGCUGAGGAGCGAAAGCUAGGGGAGCAAACGGGAUUAGAUACCCCGGUAGUCCUAGCCCUAAACGAUGAAUGCUUGGUGUGGCGGGUAUCGAUCCCUGCC